GAUGAACGCUGGCGGCAUGCCUUACACAUGCAAGUCGAACGGCAGCACGGGAGCAAUCCUGGUGGCGAGUGGCGAACGGGUGAGUAAUGUAUCGGAACGUGCCCAGUCGUGGGGGAUAAUGCAGCGAAAGCUGUGCUAAUACCGCAUACGAUCUAUGGAUGAAAGCGGGGGAUCGCAAGACCUCGCGCGAUUGGAGCGGCCGAUAUCAGAUUAGCUAGUUGGUGGGGUAAAGGCUCACCAAGGCGACGAUCUGUAGCUGGUCUGAGAGGACGACCAGCCACACUGGAACUGAGACACGGUCCAGACUCCUACGGGAGGCAGCAGUGGGGAAUUUUGGACAAUGGGCGCAAGCCUGAUCCAGCAAUGCCGCGUGCAGGAUGAAGGCCUUCGGGUUGUAAACUGCUUUGUCCGGGAAGAUAAUGACUGUACCGGAAGAAUAAGCCCGGCUAACUUCGUGCCAGCAGCCGCGGUAAU
rnacentral:rRNA from 1 species